rnacentral:ncRNA from 2 species
UAAAAGGGUAGAGGCGCACCGCCUAAGAGUAAAUUGUAAGAGGGUGAUACUUAUGACGACAAUUGAAAGGAGUCGGUGCCGAAGUUAAUUACGUUAAUCGAGCGUAUUAGCUGGGGUUAUUUCGAAGAGGAAUAACACUGCCAUAGUCAAUUUUAUUUUUUAACUAUGGAGCGCUACUGUAGGG